GUGCUCUCCUCGGCAGCACACAUACUAAAAUUGGAAUGAUACAGAGAAGAUUAGCAAGACCCCUGUGCAAGGAUGAGAUGCAAAUUUGUGAAAUGUUCCAUAUUUAA
rnacentral:snRNA from 1 species